rnacentral:rRNA from 1 species
UUCACCAAGCCGACGAUCAGUAGCNUGGUCUGAGAGGAUGAUCAAGCCACAUUGGGGACUGAGACACGGCCCAAACUCUACGGGAGGCACAGUGGGGAAUAUUGGACAAAUGGGCGCAAGCCUGAUCCAGCCAUGCCGCGUGUGUGAAGAAGGCCUUCGGGUUGUAAAGCACUUUUGUCCGGAAAGAAAUCCUUGGUUCUAAUAUAACCGGGGGAUGACGGUACCGGAAGAAUAAGCACCGGCUAACUACGUGCCAGCAGCCGCGGUAAUACGUAGGGUGCGAGCGUUAAUCGGAAUUACUGGGCGUAAAGCGUGCGCAGGCGGUUUGCUAAGACCGAUGUGAAAUCCCCGGGCUCAACCUGGGAACUGCAUUGGUGACUGGCAGGCUAGAGUAUGGCAGAGGGGGGUAGAAUUCCACGUGUAGCAGUGAAAUGCGUAGAGAUGUGGAGGAAUACCGAUGGCGAAGGCAGCCCCCUGGGCCAAUACUGACGCUCAUGCACGAAAGCGUGGGGAGCAAACAGGAUUAGAUACCUGGUAGUCCACGCCCUAAACGAUGUCAACUAGUUGUUGGGGAUUCAUCUUCCUUAGUAACGUAGCU